rnacentral:rRNA from 1 species
UACGUAGGGUGCGAGCGUUGCCCGGAUUUAUUGGGCGUAAAGGGCGCGUAGGCGGCUCGGCACGUCCGUUGUGAAAUCGCCCGGCUCAACUGGGCGGGGUCAGCGGAUACGGUCGAGCUUGAGCAAGCUAGGGGGCAAUGGAAUUCCCGGUGUAGUGGUGGAAUGCGUAGAUAUAGGGAGGAACACCAGUGGCGAAGGCGGUUGCCUGGGGCUUUGCUGACGCUGAUGCGCGAAAGCGUGGGGAGCGAUCCGG